rnacentral:rRNA from 1 species
CGGCGGACGGGUGAGUAACGCGUGGGUAACCUACCCUGUACACACGGAUAACAUACCGAAAGGUAUGCUAAUACAGGAUAAUAUAUUUGAGAGGUAUCUCUUGAAUAUCAAAGGUGAGCCAGUACAGGAUGGACCCGCGUCUGAUUAGCUAGUUGGUAAGGUAACGGCUUACCAAGGCGACGAUCAGUAGCCGACCUGAGAGGGUGAUCGGCCACAUUGGAACUGAGACACGGUCCAA